UCUGGGAGGGAGGACAAGGAUCGUGAGAGGCAGCCCUCCCUUUGCCUCUUGUUAACCCAUCCACAUUACUGGGGAAAGCUGAAGACGUAAGACAGGCAGGAGGGGAGCACACCUCUAUCAGUCUGGGCCGAAUCGGAGAGAAGGGCGACGUUUACUAUAAAGUUUCUAACUACAACAGGGGAUUGCAGAUGUAAGAGCCUGUCACUACUACCACAGAGCUGAGAUCUCCCAUCCCAGACUGCGAUCCACACUCACGGAAUAGUAGGGACGUUAUGGUGGUGCCAUGCAGUGGAAGUUUGUGGAAAUGUGUCCUCUGCGGCGUGGAGGGCAGCUAUUCACAGGGAAUUGUCUUGAGCACUAGAGGCUCUCUGCUAUAAAACUGCAAGAGCAUGGAGGAGGGGCAGAGGGAGAGAGAGAGAAACUCUCAAGCAGGCUUCUGGC